UAGGGAAUCUUCCACAAUGGACGCAAGUCUGAUGGAGCAACGCCGCGUGAGUGAAGAAGGUUUUCGGACCGUAAAGCUCUGUUGUUGGUGAAGAAGGAUAGAGGUAGUAACUGGCCUUUAUUACGGUAAUCAACCAGAAAGUCACGGCUAACUACGUGCCAGCAGCCGCGGUAAUACGUAGGUGGCAAGCGUUGUCCGGAUUUAUUGGGCGUAAAGCGAGCGCAGGCGGAAGAAUAAGUCUGAUGUGAAAGCCCUCGGCUUAACCGAGGAAUUGCAUCGGAAACUGUUUUCUUGAGUGCAGAAGAGGAGAGUAGAACUCCAUGUGUAGCGGUGGAAUGCGUAGAUAUAUGGAAGAAUACCAGUGGCGAAGGCGGCUCUCUGGUCUGCAACUGACGCUGAGGCUCGAAAGCAUGGGUAGCGAACAGGAUUAGAUACCCUGGUAGUCCAUGCCGUAAACGAUGAGUGCUAAGUGUUGGGAGGCUUCCGCCUCUCAGUGCUGCAGCUAACGCAUUAAGCACUCCGCCUGGGGGAGUACGACC
rnacentral:rRNA from 1 species